rnacentral:rRNA from 1 species
AAAUUGAAGAGUUUGAUCAUGGCUCAGAUUGAACGCUGGCGGCAGGCCUAACACAUGCAAGUCGAACGGUAACAGGAAGCAGCUUGCUGCUUCGCUGACGAGUGGCGGACGGGUGAGUAAUGUCUGGGAAGCUGCCUGAUGGAGGGGGAUAACUACUGGAAACGGUAGCUAAUACCGCAUAAUGUCGCAAGACCAAAGAGGGGGACCUUCGGGCCUCUUGCCAUCGGAUGUGCCCAGAUGGGAUUAGCUUGUUGGUGGGGUAACGGCUCACCAAGGCGACGAUCCCUAGCUGGUCUGAGAGGAUGACCAGCCACACUGGAACUGAGACACGGUCCAGACUCCUACGGGAGGCAGCAGUGGGGAAUAUUGCACAAUGGGCGCAAGCCUGAUGCAGCCAUGCCGCGUGUAUGAAGAAGGCCUUCGGGUUGUAAAGUACUUUCAGCGGGGAGGAAGGGAGUAAAGUUAAUACCUUUGCUCAUUGACGUUACCCGCAGAAGAAGCACCGGCUAACUCCGUGCCAGCAGCCGCGGUAAUACGGAGGGUGCAAGCGUUAAUCGGAAUUACUGGGCGUAAAGCGCACGCAGGCGGUUUGUUAAGUCAGAUGUGAAAUCCCCGGGCUCAACCUGGGAACUGCAUCUGAUACUGGCAAGCUUGAGUCUCGUAGAGGGGGGUAGAAUUCCAGGUGUAGCGGUGAAAUGCGUAGAGAUCUGGAGGAAUACCGGUGGCGAAGGCGGCCCCCCUGGACGAAGACUGACGCUCAGGUGCGAAAGCGUGGGGAGCAAACAGGAUUAGAUACCCUGGUAGUCCACGCCGUAAACGAUGUCGACUUGGAGGUUGUGCCCUUGAGGCGUGGCUUCCGGAGCUAACGCGUUAAGUCGACCGCCUGGGGAGUACGGCCGCAAGGUUAAAACUCAAAUGAAUUGACGGGGGCCCGCACAAGCGGUGGAGCAUGUGGUUUAAUUCGAUGCAACGCGAAGAACCUUACCUGGUCUUGACAUCCACGGAAGUUUUCAGAGAUGAGAAUGUGCCUUCGGGAACCGUGAGACAGGUGCUGCAUGGCUGUCGUCAGCUCGUGUUGUGAAAUGUUGGGUUAAGUCCCGCAACGAGCGCAACCCUUAUCCUUUGUUGCCAGCGGUCCGGCCGGGAACUCAAAGGAGACUGCCAGUGAUAAACUGGAGGAAGGUGGGGAUGACGUCAAGUCAUCAUGGCCCUUACGACCAGGGCUACACACGUGCUACAAUGGCGCAUACAAAGAGAAGCGACCUCGCGAGAGCAAGCGGACCUCAUAAAGUGCGUCGUAGUCCGGAUUGGAGUCUGCAACUCGACUCCAUGAAGUCGGAAUCGCUAGUAAUCGUGGAUCAGAAUGCCACGGUGAAUACGUUCCCGGGCCUUGUACACACCGCCCGUCACACCAUGGGAGUGGGUUGCAAAAGAAGUAGGUAGCUUAACCUUCGGGAGGGCGCUUACCACUUUGUGAUUCAUGACUGGGGUGAAGUCGUAACAAGGUAACCGUAGGGGAACCUGCGGUUGGAUCACCUCCUUA